UGGACGUAUCACAAGUGCGAAUGCUGACAUAAGUAACGAUAAAACGGGUGAAAAACCCGUUCGCCGGAAGACCAAGGGUUCCUGUCCAACGUUAAUCGGGGCAGGGUGAGUCGGCCCCUAAGGCGAGGCUGAGAAGCGUAGUCGAUGGGAAACAGGUUAAUAUUCCUGUACUUGGUAAAGCUGCGAUGUGGGGACGGAGUAGGUUAGGUUAUCGCACUGUUGGAUAUGUGCGUUUAAGUUGGU
rnacentral:rRNA from 1 species